rnacentral:rRNA from 1 species
ACCGCGUGGGGGAAGAAGGCUCUUUGGGUUGUAAACUCCUUUUCUCUGGGAAGAACAAAAUGACGGUACCAGAGGAAUCAGCAUCGGCUAACUCCGUGCCAGCAGCCGCGGUAAGACGGAGGAUGCAAGCGUUAUCCGGAAUGAUUGGGCGUAAAGCGUCCGCAGGUGGCAGUUCAAGUCUGCUGUCAAAGACCGGGGCUUAACCUCGGAAAGGCAGUGGAAACUGAACAGCUAGAGUAUGGUAGGGGCAAAGGGAAUUCCUGGUGUAGCGGUGAAAUGCGUAGAGAUCAGGAAGAACAUCGGUGGCGAAGGCGCUUUGCUGGACCAUAACUGACACUCAGGGACGAAAGCUAGGGGAGCGAAUGGGAUUAGAUACCCCUGUAGUCAAAAA